UGGGGGAUAUUGCACAAUGGGGGGAACCCUGAUGCAGCGACGCCGCGUGGGUGAAGAAGCGCCCCGGCGCGUAAAGCCCUGUCAGCAGGGAAGAAGAAGGACGGUACCUGACCAAGAAGCCCCGGCUAACUACGUGCCAGCAGCCGCGGUAAUACGUAGGGGGCAAGCGUUAUCCGGAUUUACUGGGUGUAAAGGGGGCGCAGACGGCGAUGCAAGCCAGGAGUGAAAGCCCGGGGCCCAACCCCGGGACUGCUCUUGGAACUGCGUGGCUGGAGUGCAGGAGGGGCAGGCGGAAUUCCUGGUGUAGCGGUGAAAUGCGUAGAUAUCAGGAGGAACACCGGUGGCGAAGGCGGCCUGCUGGACUGCAACUGACGUUGAGGCCCGAAAGCGUGGGGAGCAAACAGG
rnacentral:rRNA from 2 species